CUGAAGACUUCAAAUAUGCCAGAGAGUAAGUUUCUAGUUCAAAACUCUUGUGACAAACAGGCUGCUGUAAUGCAUGGUACUACCUCAGACGGGAAUAAUUCAGCAAAUACAGAAAGGGCUGUAGGGAAAGAUCUAAGGUUUGUAUUGGUUUACCAGCUUGAGUCAGCCACGGCGUACUAUCACAAAAAAGGCAAACCUCAUCUUAAAGAGAUAAACAGGACUGUCAUCAGCAAGGGACAUCAAAUGAUCCUUCCCCUUUAAUCAGCAAGAACAAGGUUUCUGGUGGAGACGUAUCCAGCUUUAGCCAGCAUAUUUCAAGAAUGAUGUGGAAAAUCUAGGGUGUUGAAGUAGACUAGCAGGAAAAACUGAAAUAUGACCCAGAGGAAAGAUUUAAACAGUUGGAAUUGUUUACUCUAAAGAGGAGAAGGCUGAUGGGAACCAUGAGAGCAGUAUACACAUAAGCUGUGUCAGAAAAUGAAGACAGUAACCUGAUCUGAUUGUUCACAGGGGAAAAACUAGACUGAAAGGGCUUAAAAUACAGCAAAAAUGCACAUCAGAGAUUAGGAGAGAGUAGUGACGUUCUGGAAACAGUCUGCUUGAAGAAGAUGAGAAAUUCCCAUGCUGGAGGCAUAUAAAGCCAGUUAAAAACAUUUCUCUGUGAAGAAUCUUGUAAUCUACCCUUUAUUGAUAACAGUAAAUUGACUACAUGACCUUUCAAGGUCCCUUCCAGACAUAAUUUUCAGGGAUGAUGUGCUGAGAUGAUUGUGUUGUGAUUUCUUACCUACUCCUGACACUCAGGUGGUGAAAUGGAUCCUUGCAGAAAGUGGCUGUACAAGUUCUUCUGGAAACUGGAAUAGAAAAGCGAAACCCUCCCCAGGGCCAGGGAAAUACCAGAGCUAUUGAAUUAAGGGAAUUAUGCAGGAAAUAUUCUGUUGAAUAAAGCAAGAGGAAUGUAAGCUGAUGGACUGUCUAACUUAUGAGGCAGCAAGAGAAUCAGGUGUUUCAGCAACAAUGCAUUGAAAACCCAACCUAUACGGUACAGAAAACUCUAAAAGGUAUGUACAUACAAAUUAUCACCUCCCACCCAUUCUCACAAGCCUAUGCUUGGCCUCUUCUACCCCAGGACUCCUCCUAGGGUGCCAUCUGCCAUCUUGUUUUCACUGUAGAGACAAGAGAAGACAUCAGCUUGUCUAUUGCCCAUAUUUAUGGAGAAGAAAAAAACAACAACAACAACAAAAAACAACCUUACAGCUCACUCACUCUUUUUGUCCCAAACCAACUUAUUAAGACCUCCCCUACUCCUCAUCCAGCUCAUGACCUUCUGAAAACGACAACAAAAACAGCCCAGGAAGUGUGCUGAGUACAUUUACCAGCGAGUGCUAGCCCAGACUCAGAAAGCAGCUGUCACUGUGAAGAAGAGGCCUAGAACAAGGACACUGAACACAUGCAAGCACUAGGGGCAAUGCAGCCUUCCCCUAGAAGUUGAAAAGUAAUAAGCCUGGGACUAAGAAAAAAAGCACUGAAUUCCCUUUGUCAUGUCAGUCAUCUACAUCUGUACAGACAGGGCUAAGAUUACUAGAGAGACUCUGCUCUGGACCACGCUCCCACCAUGCCAGGAAACAGAGUGCGGCUCCAAUCUCAAGGAUAGGACUUGUCUUUGACACUGAAGUACAGAACACUACAUCUGGCCACUGAUGUUCUUUUUAACACAGAAGCAAGAACAAUACACAUUUCUCUUCAAGGAAGAGAUGAUCAGAUUGCUAGACAAGAUGGAAGAAAUGGCAAAAAGUUACGUGUCUAAGCAAGGAUUACAGCUAAAUGGCUGACUGACAGACAACGUGCACCAUGGGGUAUGAUUUCCAGAGCACUCGAUCACACCAGGAUGGCAAAUUGUACUUCAUCUGCAAACCAAAGGAGAACUGAUGUCAAGAAGAAGGGAAAGGACAAGUUCACAAAAGAACAUGAAAUUCGCUUGCCCAAGCACUAUAUUUGUGUUAAAUCUUUUUGUGUGGAUUGACUCCUUUCAAGAUGCGAUGAGUGCAGAACAUGGAAAGAUUUGUUUUGGUCACUUCCUUCAGUAGGUGUUACUUUCCCUGCUCUGCUAUAUACUCAUGAAGUGAAAUCAGU